AGCAGCGCCAUGGCUGCUGCGCUGGGUCUGGGGCUGCUCUGGGGGCUCCUGGGGCUCCUGGGGGACCCGGGGGGCGCGACCAAAGUUCUCCACUCCCUGCGUUUCCUGGAUGUGGCAGUGUCGGAGCCCAGCCCGGGGAUCCCCCAGUACAUGACCAUGGGGUUCGUGGAUGGGAUCCCCUUCGAGUGCUACCACAACAAGCGGGGCCGGGUGGAGCUGCUGACGCAGUGGAUGAAGGAUGGAGCUGAGCCAGGAUAUUGGGAUAGAGAGAACCAGAUCCAUGUGAGGAACCAGCACGUGGCUGCCAGGGACCUGGAGAGACUGCGGGAGCGAUACAACCAGAGCGCGGGUCUCCACACAAGGUUGAGAGUUUAUGGCUGUGACCUCCUGUCUGACGGGAGCAUCCAUGGAUCCCAGCAGAUCGGCUACGAUGGGCGGGAUCAUCUCUCCUUUGACCUGGGAUCUGGGAGGUUCGUGGCGGCUGACAACGGUGCUGAGAUCACCAGGAGGCGCUGGGAACAGGAAGAGGUGGCUGAGGGUUUGAUGAAUUACCUGAAGCACGAAUGCCCGGAAUGGCUCCGGAAAUUCGUUGGAUAUGGGCAGAAGGAGCUGGAGCGCAAAGAGCCCCCUGAUGUCCACGUGUCUGGAAGAGAGGAACACGGGACGCUGAUCCUGUCCUGCCACGCGUAUGGAUUCUACCCCAACACCAUCGCAGUCAGCUGGAUGAAGGGGGGUGAAACCUUGGAUCAGGAGACGGAGUGGGGCGGGAUCGUUCCCAACAGCGACGGCACCUUCCACACCUGGGCCAGGAUCGAGGUGCUGCCGGGGGAGCGGGAGCAGUACCGGUGCAGGGUGGAGCAUCCCGGAAUGCCAGAGCCCGGGAUCUUUGCUUGGGAGCCGACAUCUGGUGGGAAUCUCACCAUGAUGGUCGCUGUGUCCGUCAUCGCUGCCAUCCUCGUCCUCAUCGUCCUCAUCGGAUUCGGCGUCUGGAAGCUCCAAUCCGGGAGGAGAGACAGGAAUGGAUACAACCCGGCAGCUGGAAGGGACACGGGAACCAACAGCUCGAGCACAGGAAUCGCUGCCUGAGUGAUCCAUGGAGCUGGAUCCGGCCCCUUCCCUCUUCCCAGGAAAGCUGAGAGCUGCCACCAGAGCUGAUCCUGCUGCUCCCACCCACCCCACAGCUUUCUCCACUGGAUCCCCAAAGGAACAGCAGCUGCCUCUUCUUCCCCUGGAUCUUCAGAGAAGACUCCACCCUUCCACAGGAUCCCUACUCCAGCAGAACCCACCUGACACUCCAGGAGGAUUGCAGUCACAAUUCCAAUGGGACUGCUACCCACACCCUGACCCACAGGGUGUCAGGUUGUGUUCUGACUCUGUCAGUGUUGUUCUAGUGUGCUGCAUUGUUCAUUUUAUCCUUUUAUAUUCUUCCCUAGUAAAGAACUGUUAUUUACUGCUCCCAUA